rnacentral:tRNA from 1 species
GGUUCGAUGGUGUAGUUGGUUAUCACGUCAGUCUAACACUCACACUGUUGGUUCACUGAAGGUCUCCAGUUCAAGUCUGGGUCGAAUCA